rnacentral:lncRNA from 1 species
GAGGAUUUCAAAGGAAUAUAAACCACCAUCUCUGAAUGCUAAAAGCUCCCAGGGCAAUGCAUAGGAUCCCCAAAAGCAUCCUUCUGAACAAAUUAGAUUCAUUGUUCCUAAUCACAUAUACUAAGGCUUUCAAGCACAUCCUAGAUGAUAACCAUUUCCCAGGUUUUGGAAAGCAAAAUGUUCUGUAUGCCUGGGGCUUGUCAGUGUCAACGCAGCAGACUACCAUUUCCCUGCUGAGGGACCUGCAAUGGGAUGCAUUGGGCAGGUGUCUCCUACUCAACAACAUACAGUAAGUGGCAGAACAGGACAAGAACCCAGAAGGCAGAUGCAGCCUAUUCUCCGACUGCCAGUUAAGUAGAGAUUUCUUCUUUUUCUGCUGCAUUAUGAUGUCACAAGAAACACAGCAAAAGCUGUAAUCGGGGUUAGGGUAUAUUAGCUAGGACAUUUGGGUGGAACUAGACAUCAAGAAACCUGGGUACAUGACCUUGUUCUGACCCUGAAGUGCCAUAUUCUUUUUGGGCAUGUUCUUCCAAUCCUCUGUCAUUAGGUUUCUCAUCUGUGCUAAAAAUAAAAGAUGUAAUAAUCUUUACAAUACUAAUGGUUCAGAAUUUUGGAAUGAUACUAGUUAAACUUAACUACUCACAAGACUCUUAGCUUUCAGAGCUCAAAGUCAGGUAUGUGUCUGUCAUUCAUGAUUUUCCCACUCUUUUCUGACAUACCUCAAGUAAUCACAGAGAACCAUGUGUUAUUGGCACUGAAUUGCAGCUUGCCUUCAGUCUUUUUAUUCCUUUACAACUGGGUCAGGUUUAGCUCAGUGUGAUUGCAUCUAGUGUCAUAGCAGAUACCAUGUUUUCUCUGAUAGUGUUUUCUGAAGUAAGAUGUAUCCCCAACAUACAAGAUCUUCAAUGAAAACACAGUGAAUUGUGCUACCCUUUGACAGCUUUAGUAGAAUCAUGAAAUUAAAAACAAAUCAUUCAACCAAGGAUUUCUAGGGGGUUUGCAGAGUAUUCCAGGGCUAUUCUUAUGUUUGGGCUAUUAAUGCCAUAGGAACAGGGAAAUAAUGGAGGACUCUUGAAGGAAAGUAGUUCUAUAUUCCUCAAGGAAGCACACAGAUUUCAUAGGCUGGGCUUGAGCAGCUACUAAUUAACCAUGGCCCCAGCAAAUAUACACACAUAUCAUUAGAAAAAGUAUCAGUGGAUAUAGUAUAUACCAUAUCCAUAUCUAUAUACAUGCAUGCUAUAUAUAUAUUUUGUAUAUAAACCAAAUAUGUAGAACUGUUCAUUGAUAACCAUGUUUUAAAUCUA